rnacentral:rRNA from 1 species
AACGAACGCUGGCGGCAUGCCUAACACAUGCAAGUCGAACGAGACCUUCGGGUUUAGUGGCGCACUGGUGCGUAACGCGUGGGAACCUGCCCUUAGGUUCGGAAUAACUCCCCGAAAGGGGUGCUAAUACCGGAUAAUGUCUUCGGACCAAAGAUUUAUCGCCUUUGGAUGGGCCCGCGUGGGAUUAGCUAGUUGGUAGGGUAAAAGCCUACCAAGGCGACGAUCCAUAGCUGGUCUGUGAGGAUGAUCAGCCACACUGGGACUGAGACACGGCCCAGAAUCCUACGGGAGGCAGCAGUGGGGAAUAUUGGACAAUGGGCGAAAGGAUGAUCCAGCAAUGACGCGUGAGUGAUGAAGGCCUGAGGGUUGUAAAGCUAUUUUACCCGGGAUGAUAAUGACAGUACCGGGAGAAUAAGCUCCGGCUAACUCCGUG